rnacentral:rRNA from 1 species
UACGUAGGGUGCGAGCGUUAAUCGGAAUUACUGGGCGUAAAGCGUGCGCAGGCGGUUCUGAAAGUCAGCUGUGAAAGCCCCGGGCUUAACUUGGGAAUUGCGCUCGAAACUACGUGGCUGGAGUGUGGCAGAGGAAGGUGGAAUUCCACGUGUAGCGGUGAAAUGCGUAGAGAUGUGGAGGAACACCGAUGGCGAAGGCAGUCCCCUGGGCCUGUACUGACGCUCAUGCACGAAAGCGUGGGGAGCAAACAGG